GUUUUUUUUUUCAUGUUCUUUGUUGGUAUAUUUUAGUUUUUCCUUUUCUUUUCUUUAAAAACUUUUUUUGUUGGAUUUUUAUAAAAAUGCUUGUGUUUUCAUGGAAUUUUUUCGUAAGUUUAAAAAAUCUUUGCCUUCCGCAAAAAUGUUCAAACAUUUUCAAAAAAUAUUCAUGUUUUCAAAAGGUUUUGGAAAAUUGGAAAAUGUUCGUAUUUAUAAAAUUAUAAUAUUUUAAAAACAUUUGCACUUUAGAAAAAUUCAUGUUUAUGAGGAAUGGUUGCAAAUUUGAAAACAAAUUGACGAUUUCAGAAAAAUGUUUGUGAAUUAGGAAAAUGUUCAUAUUUUCAUAAAAUUUUCGAAAUUUUGUAUAAAAGUUAUCAUAUUUUUUUGAAAUGCUGGUGCUUUAAUUUUUUGCAGAUUUGUAAAAAGUGUUUGUGUUUAAAAAAAAAUCAUUUUUUUCUGAAAAACGUCUGUGCUUUCAGAAAAUGUUCACAAAUAGAUAAAAACUAAUCCACAAAAUCUUCAACCUUUUGAACAUAAUAAUUCUUGAUCUUUCAAAAACUAAAUGAAAUUCAUAAGUUACUAAAACAACGAAUGUGCGGGACGCCGACACUUCUACACUUAAUGUGUCAUAUAGGAUGUUCUCAAAUAGGAAGCGCCCAAACCAAUAUUCAUUGGCCCUCUUCCUUCCAUGACCCAGUUUGACAAAACUAUGAGAUGGAAAUCCGAAAAACAACCCAUCUUUGUUGUAAUUGCUCCCAGAAAAUGCAUGCUCCACUUGGAUGACGUAUAUAAUGAAACACUUGUUAACUAAUCAGUUCAUAUAUUUCUGAAUAACAUCUUCUUCUAUGUGUAGCCAAUACUAUCACAUGUACGCCGUUGUUAGAGUUUGUGAGUAAAAAAUAUACUGCAACAUGGAUGGACAAAUUACGGGCGGUGCCCAUUAUGCAAUCGAGCUCCUGAGACGGUUGCAGACCUUAUUUUGCAAUGUCGCUACUCCAUUCAACUUUGGCGCAUGGUAAAAGAUUGGCUUGGAAUGCACCUUCUUGAGCUCUCCACAUAGAGCAACUUCAGUGACGUUUAACCUUGAUGGAAUCAUCUUCUCCAUCAUGCCCAUGAUAGCCACAAAAGCCGCGGGCUCUCUUACCAUGUUAGUUUGGUGGGAGAUCUGGAACGAGAGAAAUUCACAUGUUUUCACCAACAACAAAGCAUCAACUUGCGUCAUUGUCCUAUCAAGAAUUCGAAACGCAGCCAACCGUUGCGUCUUCGCGGGGGCUAAGCAUUUGGAUAUUUGUAUGUCGGAAAAGUAGGCUUUUGUAUGAUAGGGUUACAAUCUUGAGACAAGAGUGUCUCACAGAAAAGAUGACCUGAAUGCAUCCAUACUGUAGCACAUGCUUCAUUACGGCUGUAGUUUGCCAAUUUAUGUGCUACUUAUUUUGAUACCUACUAACUUUUCGAGGAACAAACUCUUUAACUUUCAUGAGAGAUUUAAUCUCAUAAGCUAGAUGACCGCCAACCUGAAAAGAGUCUCGCCCAAGAGGAUGGGCAACACAGUCGAUGAAUCUGCUUGAACAAUCACGGACCCAUCCGUAUGCUUAAUGGCCAGUCUUUUGCCAAAUUUUUUUAAAGCAUACACAACGUUGUCACAUGUGUUUUACUACCAUUGCCUAAAAAAUAAGUGUUUUACUACCAAGUCCUAGUACUUGUUUAUUUUCACCAACCACGUCUCUAAUGUAUUUUGCACUCCUAGUACCUAAGUUUGGAACAAAGCACCUAUAAAAAAGGUAUGAACUAGCCAUCACCGCCACAAAAGCAGCCACUAUAUGGUAUCCCUUGAUUCUGGAGGCAUGGGUUCGGUAUAAGCGUGCUCAAUCUCCCCACCAUCAUUUACAUAAAAUUACUUUAUAACUGAAAGGCCAGCGAUCAAUCAUGAAUUAGCGGAUAAUAAUCAAAGCACUUGCUACUAGUACUCCCUCCAUUCUAACUUUGACCACAAAUUUAACCAACGAGACCAACUGCGGUGGGAAAAAAAAUUAUAUAAUUGAAAACUUCUUUCGAAUACGAAUUCACUGAUAUAAUUUUCGCUUCCGCCGCAAUCGGUCUUGGUAUUUAAAUUUACGGUUAAAAUUAAAGCACGUGGAUAGAGAAAGCACUACAUUGUGGAAUGAAGGGAGUACAAGAUAACAUAACAUAUUCACGCAACUUGCCCUAGGUAGCGUCAAAAUAGCUGCCCUCGGGUCCUUCCGACCUGCUUCUUUGUUUCCCUGCCGCCUGCAUGGGCUCACGAACGGCAGUGCGCUGGACGAAUUCUAGUCGUCGCCAGAACCCGCGCGGCCGCCACGGCAGCAAUUCCCCGUCACUCCGAUGGCUCCCCAAUGGUUAAAAACGUACGUAGCGUAUGGUCCGCAUGAGCACCGGCUCCUAAUCUAAUCAAUCAAUGGAGCGCCGUGACAGGGAAGUGGGAACGGAGGCCUCCCUCAGGUGGCCCGUUUCCGAUUAACAAGCGUUAUCCGGCGAGAAAAUUUGGCUCCGGCCAGUGGCGAGGGGAUACGUGAGAGGCCGUCUCGCGCGAGCUGCCACAAGGGGAAAACGGCUGGGCGAUGCGAGGUGGAAGACGGAAUAUACUUCUGAAUCUUUCGUUAAACUACUAUCCGAGGUCUUUUGGUUGCCUUGCCGUCUUACCGUGAGAUUCAGAGAGUUUGAGGAAUGUUGUGCCUUAUCUGCAUGCAUGGGGAAUAAAGCACGAGCCGGUAUGAUACCAUUGUUUUCAACCUUUGUUUCAGGACAUAGAUGGGGUGGGUGGUCAAUGCGCUCUACUUACUUCAUUACUUGCGUGUGCGGCAUGGAAAAUUUUACAUAUGGAUAAGCAUCUCCGCCUUAGGAAAAUAUAAAUAGCAUGGCACUAGCAGAUGACUAGAUGUACAUGGUGCUAUGGAAAGUAACAACCAGAUAGUAAAAGCUAAUAGUAAUCUACACACACGAGACAUGGCCAAGGGCUUCGUUUAUUCCUUUCAAUUAUUAAUAUUUCUCUCAAGGAAGGACUCUGCCGGCUGGUAAAAGCAAAAGUUAAAACACUCGAUGUACUACUGUACAUUUCAAAGCAGAAUAGUAGUACUCCGCCAAUUAAGUCGGGAAAACUACAGAGCCGUAGAAAACCACCACACUCAGAUCCACCAAUCCAGCUAAAGCUCAACAUGCGUGAGGUCCUGCCAGCGCCUUGACUUUUUGUUGAACCAUCAUCCAUCCGUCCGUCUUAUCGUGAUUCUUGACGAUGGAUCUGCUACAGUGAAUCAAUAAUUAGAGCUGUCCUCUGGCUGUGGCUCCAGGGGACCUGCACUGCACUGAAGUGCACCCAUCCAUCCAUUAAUUGAUCCCACUCCGAGCCGCCAAAUGGGCCAUUUUUUGUUUGAUCCGUGACAUGGAUGUUCCUGGACUUGUUGAUGUGCAUGGCAAUAUCAGGAUGCCUUGGUGGCCGGACAAGAUUCUACAUGGACAAAAAGCCUCUUGGCCAAUCUGAAGAAAACUUCAGCCGGAUGAAAAGGCUGUCACCCAUCCGCUACCUGAACUGAAAGCUAAACGCCAUCCACAACUUGCCUGCUUUUGGCCAAUUAUUAAAUGCCCGGGUUCCAUAUUCUUCUCUCGUCCGUCCUUUAUGUGUUUUUCUGGCUAUUUCCCCUUCUUCUGAAUGGACUAAUUAUGUUCUUGGAGCAGGUGUUCCUACUUGUGAUUUUCUCGUCCCUUUCUUUACUUCUUUUUUCUUGAAUUCGACAAUCUUCUCGUGUAUGGCUGAACAUUUCUGCAUACAGACCCUUGAGUACAAUAGUAAAACAUGAUAAGAUGAAUUAAUGGUUCCAUUAAAGAAUCUAUUUUCGCUGUUUUACAUCUUUGUUCCAGACUUUCAGUCCGUCGAUCUCAGUCUGAUCAAGCCCUUCCUAGCACGGUCGUAAGCUUCAAGUACAUGAUUGUACUGCAUGCCUAGGAGACAAAAAUAUUGUGUACACACUACAAACCAUAUCUACUAGUAUGAUCCAUGGACCUAGCUACUCGUUCGAUACACACACCUGACGCAAGUAAAAGUACAAUCCCUUUUCCUAUAUAUAUUGACCAAUAAUUUGUCUAAUUUAGACCUAUCUUGUGCAAUAGACCCCCAUAAUUGUUCUUCAAAUCACCAGUUCGCCGGUCGUAUAUAAUUCAAACUGAUGGGGUUCAAGUAGUAUAGUGUGUAUCCACCGUCAGUUCAUCCGAUCCCCAUGUUAG
rnacentral:lncRNA from 1 species